rnacentral:rRNA from 1 species
AUAGCGUAUAUUAAAGUUGUUGCAGUUAAAACGUCCGUAGUCAAAUUUUAGUCUUUAGGUUAGGUGGCCUGGUCUUCAUUGAUCAAGCUCGCUUCAGCCGAGACUUUUUUUCUGGUUAUGCUAUAGGUGGCUUCGGUCGUUUAUAGUCUCUAGCCAGAUGAUUACCAUGAGCAAAUCAGAGUGUUUAAAGCAGGCUUUUAAGCUUGAAUGUGUUAGCAUGGAAUAAUGAAAUAUGACUUUAGUUCUUAUUUCGUUGGUUCAGGAACUUAAGUAAUGAUGAAUAGAAACGGUUGGGGGCAUUUGUAUUUGGCCGCUAGAGGUGAAAUUCUUGGAUUGGC